ensembl:miRNA
UGAGGCAGGAGAAUGGCUUGAACCCAGGAAGUGGAGGCUGCAGUGAGCCAAGAUCGUUCCACUGCACUCCAGCCUGGGUAACAGAGCGAGACUCCA